rnacentral:lncRNA from 1 species
GGGACAGGAGGAAGACAAUGGGACCGGCAGAGAAGGAUAAGGGGGAUUGGAGUCGGCAGGGCAUGGGACGGGAGGGACAGACCGGACGGGACUGCGUGGGGGACACGGAAAGGCUGAGGAAGAGAUGGGGACAGGACGAGAGAGCUCCAAGGUCCCCGUGGAAGCUGCGGACCCGCACAGGGAGAGUUGUGCCAGGGGGAGAGGGACAGGGACAGGGACAGGGGUGGCACAGGAGAGCAGGGAAGGGAUGAGAGAGGGGACAGCAUGAGGACGGGGAUGGGAUGAAGGGGACAGGAUACGCUGGGAGUCGGUGCUGCCAGCCCCGCCGGUUGUCCCUGAUCCGAGGGGACGUCCCCAGCACACGGCGGACCCAGAGUCCCCCCGGAGGAGCUGCUGUGGGGCUGGGAUGCACUGGGGACACCCCGGGGACCCCGUGCCGGGUGGGUUUGUGGCCCUGCACCCACAGGCGCACACACGCUCACACACGUGCAGACACGUGUCCCUGGGGCGCAGGGCAGGGGACAGGGGACCCGGGGCGUCCCCAGCCGGUGACACCCCGCUGUGCCCCAGAUCCGCCGGCGGAGGCCCACGCCGGCCAUGCUCUUCCAGCUCUCCGAACACUCCUCCCCAGAGGACGAGAACCUGCCCUACCAGCGCUCGGGCGAGGGCUGCCUGCUCAAACCAAAGAGGACCAACCCGUGUGCCUACACCC